rnacentral:misc_RNA from 1 species
CGUAGGUGAACCUGCGGAAGGAUCAUUAUUGUAUAACCGAGGUGCGAGGGCUGUCGCUGACCCGAAAGGUCGUGCACGCCCGAGUGCCCUCACACACAUCCAUCUCACCCCUAUGUGCACCACCGCGCUGGUCCCCCUUUGGCUUGUUCGGAGGGGGGCUUACGUUUUCACACAAACUUUGUAUGCAGUGUAGAAUGUAUGUUUUGUUUUUGCGAUCACGCAAUCAAUACAACUUUCAACAACGGAUCUCUUGGCUCUC